rnacentral:tRNA from 1 species
UAGGGCAUAGCUCAGUGGUAAGAGUACAUGCUUAGCAUGCACUAGGUCCUGGGUUCAAUCCCCAGUACCUUCA